rnacentral:rRNA from 1 species
UACGGGAGGCAGCAGUGGGGAAUAUUGCACAAUGGGCGCAAGCCUGAUGCAGCCAUGCCGCGUGUAUGAAGAAGGCCUUCGGGUUGUAAAGUACUUUCAGUCGUGAGGAAGGUGUUAAGGUUAAUAACCUUAGCAAUUGACGUUAGCGACAGAAGAAGCACCGGCUAACUCCGUGCCAGCAGCCGCGGUAAUACGGAGGGUGCGAGCGUUAAUCGGAAUUACUGGGCGUAAAGGGCACGCAGGCGGUUAAUUAAGUUGGAUGUGAAAUCCCCGGGCUUAACCUGGGAAUGGCAUUCAAGCUGGUUAGCUAGAGUCUUGUAGAGGGGGUAGAAUUCCAUGUGUAGCGGUGAAAUGCGUAGAGAUGUGGAGGAAUACCGGUGGCGAAGGCGGCCCCUGGACAAAGACUGACGCUCAUGUGCGAAAGCGUGGGGAGCAAACGAGGGAUUUAGAUACC